AGUGAACGUUGGCGGCGUGGAUUAGGCAUGCAAGUCGAGCGAGAACCGUAGCAAUACGGGGACAGCGGCGAAAGGGACAGUAAUGUGUAGGUACCUACCUCCGGGUUCGGGAUAGCUGCGGGAAACUGCAGGUAAUACCGAAUAACGUCUCCGGACCAAAGGUGUGAUUCCACCUGGAGAGGGGCCUGCAUUCUAUUAGCUUGUUGGCGGGGUAACGGCCCACCAAGGCGAAGAUGGGUAGGGGGUGUGAGAGCACGACCCGCGUCAUUGGGACUGAGACACUGCCCAGACACCUACGGGUGGCUGCAGUCGUGAAUCAUCGGCAAUGGGCGCAAGCCUGACCGAGCGACGCCGCGUGCGGGAUGAAGGCCUUCGGGUUGUAAACCGCUGUCGUAGAGGAGGAAAUGCAGGGGGGUUCUCCCCUCUGUUUGACCUAUUCUAGGAGGAAGUACGGGCUAAGUUCGUGCCAGCCGCCGCCGUAA
rnacentral:rRNA from 1 species